AGAAACAGGUUUGGCGGCAACUAGGACUUAGGAGUAAUUUGUCUCUUAUUUUUUUCUUUCUCUCUGGGAGGUAUAGUUGAGGUCAUGUGGUGUUUGUGCAAACUGCUUGGGUCUACAUGGCAGAGAAGUGGGGCUAAAGUACGAAGGAGGUGGAACUCAGAAACAGUCUGUCAAAACAAGAGUGACUGAAAGCAGUUGCCCUGUAUGUUGCAUCAUUUUUACUGCAAUAAAAGCAGUAAUGAUGGACUUUAUAUUGCAGUCACAAGCUACCAUUACUAAGUCAGAUAAGUGAAUUCAAGCAGGUCUUCUAGAAGUCGAGAGGCCUGUUGUCCUUUCUUUCUUUAAAAAAUUCAAAAAUAGGGGAUCCCUGGGUGGCUCAGCGGUUUGGCGCCUGCCUUUGGCCCAGGGCGCGAUCCUGGAGACCCGGGAUCGAAUCCCACAUCGGGCUCCAGGUGCAUGGAGCCUGCUUCUCCCUCUGCCUGUGUCUCUGCCUCUCUCUCUCUCUAUCAUAAAUAAAAAAAAAAAAAAAAAAAAAAAAAAAAAAAAAAAAAAAAAAAAAAUAAAAAAUUCAAAAAUAAAAUUGCUCCAAAGAUACUUUUUAACAUUUGCUGUCUUGAACUGUUAUUGCAUUACAGAUUUACAUUUUAUUGGUGAUAUUGCUCAAUUAUGCUCACAAUACUCAUGUUUUGAAAAGUCAGUAAAACUUUCCUUAAAGAGCAAGGCUUUGUGUUCAUCUUCCAUGCAUGGCAUACAUCAGAGUAAGAGGGACAUGAGAACCUUUCACUGAACUGUGCCCUGUCCGAGGUCCAAGACUAACUAAUCCUGGACAUUGGCCAAGUCAGUUAGCCUAUCUGCUGUUUGGUUUCUACAUCUGUGAAAUAGAGGUGUGUGAGAAGAUGAUUUCAUGAUUUUUUUUCUAGCUCUAAGAUUUUAUGAUUAUAACAUAUUAAAUGCCUACAUUGACAGGAACUGAAGAGAGUUCAGGGUUAAUACAAGUACUUGCCCCACAAAUUAGGUUUAUCACCUAUCUUUUGUAAAUCAUCUUACAAAUUAUUAUAUUGGACAUUUAAGGAAAUAUGGCAACUAUAUAAAAUAAUUAGAAAACUAAAUACAAAUAACACUCGGCAUAUUUAUUUUAAUGCCUAUUUCUACAAAUAUCCAAUGUACAUAUGCAUAACUGGAAUCAUACUGUAUACAGAAUUGAUGUCUGCCUUUUUCCUGCUGAAUUUUAUAUUGUGAGCACUUUCCCAUGCCACUAAAAAAAUCCUUAAAACCCAAUAGUUUUCUUUAAUUUUUUUGUAUUUUAAAUAUAACACAGAUACAGAAAACUGUAUAAAUGAAUUGUUGUAAGAUAAGCACUAGGAUAGCCACCACUUGACUCAGCCACCCCAGAAACACUCUUCUAACAUGAACCACCUCCUGCUGAAAUUCAUUGCCUUAAUGACUUUCACGGUAAUAAUAUCCUUACUUUUAUUUUUAUUUUUACCACCCAAUGUACAUCCCUAAAUGUUAUCAUUUAGUGUUGCCUAAAAACGUAAUUUUUAGUGAAUAUUUAUUAUUCCAUCAUAUAAAAAUACAUCAAUACAUGCACAUACAGCUUAUUGGAUUAUUUACUUCAUUUUUGGACAGUUGAUUGUUUUAUCUUAUUUUUUGAUUUGAUAUCUGUUCAUGUAAUGCAAAAGUUUGAAGGCUUACAGGAAUGUGGUGAAAAGUGUUCCUCCCACUUCUGUUCUCUAGCAACCUGGCUCUCUCUAUGACAAGUUGCCAGGAAGUUGUUUUUGAGAAAAAAAGAGCCUAAGAAUGGUAUUGUUAUGUUUUCAGUUUUAAUGUCCAAAGUAGUCUAAGUAGGUACAAAAAAUGUAAUUCUUUCUAAAGCGUGAAAAAUCCCUGUAAUUGAUUCUUUUCUAUAAUAUCAACAGAGUUUCUGGAGUGGAUAUGUAGUUUCACUCCUAGGUUAAAUUCAUAACAUUGAAUGUUGUAUGAAUUGGAUGUGAAAUAACUGCAGAAGGAAGUCUAGGAUCAAAUGAGAUGUAAAUAGUAUUGUGGUGUUUUACUUUGCUUUACUGUAUAGGUGAGAGACUCAAGUGGCUUCGGGUCUUUGGCACAAUGGGAAACUCAGUUUCUUACAUUUUGCUCUGGCAGAUCAAGAAAUAAUGUCAUCAAGAUAAUUAUGCUAAUGCAAAAAUACAUAAUUCAGAAUGAAGGAAUCAACUAUAUAACUAUCUAAUCUGACCUGUACACAAUUUUUAUGCACUAGGGUUUUUUGGUUGCAAGAAACAAAAGCAGACUGCUUAACUGAAAUAAAAGGAAUUUGUCAGAUUUGUCAGAAGCGUUCAGGUACUCAUUGACAGAAAGGCUGGAGAACCAGACUUUGAAAUGGACAGGGCCAAUACAACUUAAGAGGUCCAGGAAUUGGCGAUGACAACAAUGGUUUCAAAUGGUAUUAAAUUGGUUUUGGAUAUUUUAUUAGAUUCUGGUAGAAACUGUGUGCCUGAUAAUGGAACAUCAGGUGACUACACAACCAGAACUGUCCAUCAUGAUAUUAUCAGAUACAAUGUUAGUGCUAAGUUUGGGUAGAUAUAUCAGCAGACUUAUGAUAGAAAUGAAACAUUGGGAUCCAGCCUGAAUAUGUCCAGAAGGCAUGAAUAUAUUGCAUGUACAUGUAAUUUGAACUCCCAUGUCACCUGCCACUGCUACACCAAUGGACCUCUCUCAACAUACCUGGGAUCUCAUGGGGUGGAGGAGAGAGAAUAGGUGAUCCCCUAUGACCAAGUGAGAGAAGAAAAGACAAUUUAGGCCCAAUUUACAUGUGAAUAUUCACCAUGCAUUAGUGCUAGCAGAAAACGGAUUGCCACCACAUUACAGUCCUACCCAGCAAUGGAAGGAUAGUCUUGAAAGGAAAUUCUCUCUGUAGGCAGUGUUAUGAGUAGUACAAAUGGCCAUUGACUUAGUAUAGAGAGAGAAAAAUGUACUGAGAUGUAGAUAUACAGAGGCUCUGGGACAGGUGGGAAUGGCUUGACUGCUUUGUCAGGGUCUUGGAAGAAACAAAACUGGAAGAUUCUCCUGGUAAGUCAUCCUCAUAUUGGAGCUUUUAUUUUUCUUUCCUCACUCUUCUGUUCUGUCACUCCCAUUUCCCUGGGAUUGUGGAAAUACUAAUAAAGGUAGUAUGACAUAAACUUUUGCCUCAGCCAUGAGGGCAACUAGACUCUUGAAAAGUUCAGUGAAAUAUUUGUGGGCAAUUCAGACUCCCAGACCAAAUUAUACAGGCUCUGCCCAAGCAGUGAUAUAUAUCUAGUGAUGGCUCAAAGUAUUCUUAAGACUAUUUCCAUUAUCUGAGAAAGAAAAUGAAGAGAAGUUUGUCCAAAUUAUUUCUGAUAACUUUCAAGUAUACUCAAGUAUAAGUCUCUGAAAAUCUCUCUAACUUAACCAUUUAUGAAAUAAUUGGCCUAGCAAUCAGAGAUAGAAAUCUGUUUGUGAACAAAAUGGAUAAGAAAAUUAUCUCAUCAACAAAACAAGAAGCUAUGUCAUUCUCCUUAUCCUAAGAAAAAUCGAUAUGUAAUCAAAAUUUUUAUUUUUUUCUUGGAACUACUCCACAGGUUGAAUUUGACUAUUUCUCAAUACUGUCAACUCUGCCAAAACCUAAGCAAAGAAUGUAAUUACCUUUUAAAGUAUUUCUCCCACUCUGCUCCUUGAGGAGUCUGAAACUGUUAAACGACUGGCAACUGUUCUCCUUAGGUUAGCACUUGGCCUAUCUCCCUUCUAAGGACAUCUGAGAUCCCCUGUAUUCCACUAAAAAUAAAGGAUGGAAGGUAGAGAAGUGGGACACCUAGCUGGCUCAGUCGGUAGAGCAUGUGACUCUUGAUUGCAGAGUUGUGAGUUCAAGCCCCACGUUGGGUGCGGAGCCUACUUUAAAAAAAAAAAAAAAAA
rnacentral:tRNA from 1 species